rnacentral:rRNA from 1 species
GAAGUGAGUGGCGAACGGGUGAGUAACACGUGGGUAACCUGCCCAGAAGUAGGGGAUAACACCUGGAAACAGAUGCUAAUACCGUAUAACAGAGAAAACCGCAUGGUUUUCUUUUAAAAGAUGGCUCUGCUAUCACUUCUGGAUGGACCCGCGGCGUAUUAGCUAGUUGGUGAGGUAAAGGCUCACCAAGGCAGUGAUACGUAGCCGACCUGAGAGGGUAAUCGGCCACAUUGGGACUGAGACACGGCCCAGACUCCUACGGGAGGCAGCAGUAGGGAAUCUUCCACAAUGGACGCAAGUCUGAUGGAGCAACGCCGCGUGAGUGAAGAAGGGUUUCGGCUCGUAAAGCUCUGUUGUUAAAGAAGAACGUGGGUAAGAGUAACUGUUUACCCAGUGACGGUAUUUAACCAGAAAGCCACGGCUAACUACGUGCCAGCAGCCGCGGUAAUACGUAGGUGGCAAGCGUUAUCCGGAUUUAUUGGGCGUAAAGCGAGCGCAGGCGGUCUUUUAAGUCUAAUGUGAAAGCCUUCGGCUCAACCGAAGAAGUGCAUUGGAAACUGGGAGACUUGAGUGCAGAAGAGGACAGUGGAACUCCAUGUGUAGCGGUGAAAUGC